AGUGAACGCUGGCGGUAGGCCUAACACAUGCAAGUCGAACGGCAGCACAGUAAGAGCUUGCUCUUACGGGUGGCGAGUGGCGGACGGGUGAGGAAUACAUCGGAAUCUACUUUUUCGUGGGGAUAACGUAGGGAAACUUACGCUAAUACCGCAUACGACCUACGGGUUAAAGCAGUGGAUCUUCUGACCUUGCGCGAUUGAAUGAGCCGAUGUCGGAUUAGCUAGUUGGCGGGGUAAAGGCCCACCAAGGCGACGAUCCGUAGCUGGUCUGAGAGGAUGAUCAGCCACACUGGAACUGAGACACGGUCCAGACUCCUACGGGAGGCAGCAGUGGGGAAUAUUGGACAAUGGGCGCAAGCCUGAUCCAGCCAUACCGCGUGGGUGAAGAAGGCCUUCGGGUUGUAAAGCCCUUUUGUUGGGAAAGAAAAGCAGCAGGUUAAUACCCCGCUGUUAUGACGGUACCCAAAGAAUAAGCACCGGCUAACUUCGUG
rnacentral:rRNA from 1 species